UCCGAAAGUGCGAGAAGACCGAGCAGCUUUUCAGGGACUGCGCUGGCAGGCCUGUUGAAGUGGUGCAAUCCAAUAAAGAGUACACUGAAGAUGAUGUCA